rnacentral:misc_RNA from 1 species
UUUCCGUAGGUGAACCUGCGGAAGGAUCAUUAUUGUAUAACCGAGGUGCGAGGGCUGUCGCUGACCCGAAAGGUCGUGCACGCCCGAGUGCGCUCACACACAUCCAUCUCACCCCUAUGUGCACCACCGCGUGGGUCCCCCUUUGGCUUGUUCGGAGGGGGGCUUACGCUUUCACACAAACUUUGUAUGCAGUGUAGAAUGUAUUUUUUGUUUUUGCGAUCACGCAAUCAAUACAACUUUCAACAACGGAUCUCUUGGCUCUCACAUCGAUGAAGAACGCAGC